AAAUCUCUGCAGGCAACUGUGUGUAUGCAUGAUGCUCACUUCUUGGCACACGUCGCCUGCAGGGGUUCCG
rnacentral:pre_miRNA from 1 species